rnacentral:rRNA from 1 species
UACGAAGGGGGGCUAGCGUUACUCGGAAUUACUGGGCGUAAAGGGCGCGUAGGCGGCGUUCCAAGUUAGGCGUGAAAAGUCCUGGGCUCAACCUGGGAACUGCGCUUAAGACUGGAAUGCUAGAGGAUGGAAGAGGGUUGUGGAAUUCCCCAGUGUAGAGGUGAAAUUCGUAGAUAUUGGGAAGAACACCGGUGGCGAAGGCGGCAACCUGGUCCAUUUCUGACGCUGAGGCGCGAUAGCGUGGGGAGCAAACAGG